rnacentral:lncRNA from 1 species
GUUGUUGACCGAUCAAAUGAAAGAAAAGUAUUUGAAGAGAUAGUCAGAAAAUUAGAUAAAAAAGAAAAUGAAUCAUUACCUCAAGUAAAACUUGGCAAAUAUGAUUUUCAGUUUGGUGAUAUAGACUUUAUGAUUGAAAAGAAAGAUAUUAUACCAAUAGCAAAUAUUGGCCAGAGUUUAGUAGAGUUUGAGUUUAUACCAAAGCUAGAUGAAACAGAUGUUACAAAACCAUGGAUAAGAGUGAACCCAUCAUCUGGUUUUAUUAUG